CUCGGCAAAUUAUCCUCAUAAGUUUGACAAUAAGAGGAGCCACUUAUGACUAAAGUUUAUUUUAUCUAAACUAACAUAUGGUGGUGUCACAAAAUCGGAGGCCACGGACUGUUUACUAAAAACACAAUUCAGAGCAAUGAUGAAAAUCAUAGUAUUCUGGAUGAAAUUUGCCCGAUGCCAUUAACAUAAAAGAGGUAAUGGGUAACUGUUACUAAUUGAAAGUCUGGUUAAUAGCGGUCUUAACUAUGAGGAUCCUAAGGUAGCAAAAUCAGUUGGCCAUUAAAUGUGGUCUGGUAUCAAUAGUGUAACGAUGGUCUCACUGUCUCUACAACUUGCUCAGUGAAAUUGAAUUAUCCGUGCAGAUGCGGAUUGCCUCCAGGUGGACGGGAAGACCCUAUGCAGCUUCUACUG
rnacentral:rRNA from 1 species